rnacentral:rRNA from 1 species
UGGGGAAUUUUGGACAAUGGGCGAAAGCCUGAUCCAGCAAUGCCGCGUGUGUGAAGAAGGCCUUCGGGUUGUAAAGCACUUUUGUCCGGAAAGAAAUCCUUGGCUCUAAUACAGUCGGGGGAUGACGGUACCGGAAGAAUAAGCACCGGCUAACUACGUGCCAGCAGCCGCGGUAAUACGUAGGGUGCAAGCGUUAAUCGGAAUUACUGGGCGUAAAGCGUGCGCAGGCGGUUUGCUAAGACCGAUGUGAAAUCCCCGGGCUCAACCUGGGAACUGCAUUGGUGACUGGCAGGCUAGAGUAUGGCAGAGGGGGGUAGAAUUCCACGUGUAGCAGUGAAAUGCGUAGAGAUGUGGAGGAAUACCGAUGGCGAAGGCAGCCCCCUGGGCCAAAUACUGACGCUCAUGCACGAAAGCGUGGGGGAGCAAACAGGAUUAGAUACCCUGGUAGUCCACGCCCUAAACGAUGUCAACUAGUUGUUGGGGAUUCAUUUCCUUAGUAACGUAGCUAACGCGUGAAGUUGACCGCCUGGGGAGUACGGUCGCAAGAUUAAAACUCAAAGGAAUUGACGGGGUCAUAGCUGUUUCC